AUCUCAGCAUGUUAUUUUGGCUUGUCAAGCAGGUCUGCUUCCUGCUGAACUAAUGGAUUGGGAUGAUGUAGUAUUUAGGGAAAAGAUUACCCAAUGUUUCCCAAGAGAGCCCAGAGGACUCUAGGCAAAACAGCCAAGAGACAUUUUAUCCACUUCUGAUCCUAGCCAAUUUCUACCUGACAUUUUUGAUACCCUUACGCUUCUCCAUGGACAUGUAGGGGAGACCCCACAGAGACAAUAUCUUUGAACUGAGUGAGAGGCCCCGUGCAUGCCUUUUCUUCCUAGUCCUGUGUGCUGACGAAGGAAGCUGACGCCCUCAGCCGAUUGCUGACCAUUGCCAGCUAACUCAUCAGUGGUGAUUUAUCCAGCGGCUUUCAAAGUGCAAUUUCUGGACUAGCAGCAUCAUUUGAGAUUCCUUAGAACCUCACAUUCUUCCCAAGCCCCCUGAAUUGGAAAUUCUGGGGCUGGACCACUGCAACCUGCAGUUUCACCAGGCUUCGAGGUAGACCUGAUGUUCAGAAACCAUAAACAAGGUCUUCGGGCUCUUCACAAACCAUCCCUAUCCUCCUGUUUGACCUGACAUCGCUCUUGAAAGCCCUCAAAGAACAGCCUCAAAGGUGAACAGAACACAGCCUCGAAGGGAAGGGCCAUAUUUGUGGGCCUGUCUAACAAUUAAGAGUGACCACAUGGAAUGGGGGAUGAAAGGGUUAAAGAAGAACAAAUAUUGAACACAGCUUUUCUAUGAACAAACUGCAGGCAGCUGCUGCUUUGCAAGGGGAACUUCUUGGCUGCCAUUUCUGGAUGUCAAGGCUGCAGAUACACUGGUCAGGACCCUGGGUAGAGAGAGAUGCGUCAGAAUGCGGCUCCUUUCAGAAAGGCUUCUCCGGAGAAAAACCCUUUGAAAAGAUUCAGCACGUUGCCAUGGAGAACAUCCCACUGAAGGAAUGUAUAGAAGUAGCAGGUGUCAGCUGCCUACCAGUUGCUUUCAUCUCUAGAAAUCUGUGACUUGCAGUAUGACAAGAACAAAAGGUGACAAUACAAAGGACAAAGGGCAAGGAAUACAGACGGAGAAGCCGCUUAGAGUCUAGGAUGGCAGAGGUUCUCUUGAUCAUUUCAUUUUUGAGCGCUUGUAGAGCUUUGGUGUACCAGAGGUGCUUGAACAGCUUACCACACCACAGAUGAAUGGCCUUUGGAUUUCUCCUAAGAAAAUGUGGCUACCUGAAAUUCAACUCCAUUUUCUGGUCUUCAAUAUUUCUUUUGUGUUCAGUUUGCCAGCUGAGGAGAAGUGGCUAAGCAUAGCCUGUUACUGAUGCUAAAGCCCAAGUUCUGAACCUAACAACUCCAGCAACAUGAUCCUGUUUCAAGAGACAAAAAAGUGACUAAUGAAAGAAAACAAUUGAUGUGCUAUGUAGAGUUUAAAAGAAGGUAAAGAGAAUAAAUUAAAAGCAA
rnacentral:lncRNA from 1 species